UAGUGCUCGGGGUGGGGUGUGCGGCGUGCGUGAGUUACCACAGUGAGUGUGACAGUGCUCUGAGUGGCUAGGUGGAGAGACGAUAACACCUGACGGCCAGUAGAACAGAGGAGAAACGCCUCACGUUUGGGCAGAGCACUGCCACGUUUUUGGGACGCUGAGCUGGAAGUAGCGUCCUCAGUGGCGCUGCGGUCUGCGACGCGUGGCUACACGUCACCGGGAAACUCUGGUCCUGUGAAAGCGGCCCAUUCGUGUCUGGGUAGCGCCCUCGUACCGGACCAGCCGACUGGUUCCGUGUGAAGCGCCACGCGAGCGUCCGGUCGAUAUUCCAUUCGGACCGCAUUGAUCACAAACCUUCUGCGGAGUGGCGAGGUAAAGGAGUGUUCAGACCCGCGUCCUUUGCUGCCGCUACCGCAUUCGUCGACCCUCCUUCCCAGCAGCGGUGUCAAGUGAGGCCAGUUUUUAGCCGGUCGACCCGGUCCGCCCCCUCGUCCGCUCGCGCGCCGGUUUCGGUUCGUUCGCUCGACCGCUGCGCCAAGGUCGAGUGCGAGGCCGCGCGGCUCGCGGUGAUACAGCGAUGCUGGACUCGGCGCCCACUGGCGCCCGGCGGCGCCCCAAGCUGGCCCAGUUCGGCGCCAGCAUGCGGCUCUCGUCGGUUGGUGAAGAGUGCGAAGAGCUGCCGUGCGCGUGCUGCGAGCACGAGGCGUGCGCGUCGGACCUGCGCCAACGCUCCCUGGACGUGUCCGACUCGGACGGCCCCGAGCCGUCGGUCCGGCGGCGCCAGAACGUCGCCGGCGACGCGGUCGACGAGGUGGAGCUGAAGCCGCUGCAGCAGCGGCCGGCCAGCGCCGAGCCCGACCACCAGCGGCGGCUCAGCAUGGACAGCGAGACGCAGAGACCGGUGACGGUCGCCGAGAGACGCCGCUCUGUCGGCGACCCGCGUGCGCUGGCCUGGCGACUCGAGGAGGAACCUAGCGCUGAUGAGGAUCACCCCCAGAGAGUGAGGCCUCGCGGGAUCGCCGCGCUGGGUCUCAACUCUCUGAGGAACCUGCUGCACCGCCGACGGGUCCAGGUGGUGACCCGAGAGGAGUCCGACCGAACACGUCGCGCUGACCCCGAGAAGGUCCAGCUGAGAAGGUUUAGAGACGUGGCCGAGAAAAUUCGCGCCGAGAUCCACCAGCAGCAUCUGGACGAGCGUGUACCGGAGGCAGAGGUGAUGAGGGGCAUGGACGAGCACACGGCGAUACGCUACCUGUACCCCUGGGCGUCCCCCGACUUGCUGAAGGUGUUUGAGGACUUUGGUGUUCACCCGCGCCGCGACGACCGCUCCGAGCGCUCAUCGCUCUCCAACUUCACAGAAGGCUCAGGCAGGAUCACGCCCAAGAUCAAGAUGCCCAAGAGGCUGUCGUUCUCGCGCUCCAAGAAGUCUCGCUCAGACAUAAACACACAGUUCCGCCGGUGUCCCGAGGUGGUGAACCCGGACGUGUCUUACGCGCCGUACACGCAGCUCAGUGAGGAGGAGGCUGCUGCGGCGGCUGCUGCAGCCGCGGCCGUUACCUUCCACCUAGACGAGGCUCCUGAUGAGGCCGAGGAGGCCAUGCCUCCAGUGCCCGUGGAGCGCGCCCUGGCGCCCGUGGUGGGGACUUGUGCCGGACUGGUGGCGCUGACCUCUGGACUGCCUAUGGCUGGACUGGCCACAGCGGCGGCCAAGACGGCACCGACAGCCGCUCCGGCGGCAGCUGAGGCCGCUCCGUCUCCGGCCAUUGACAAUAGCAACCUGCUGCACCCGCUGCACUCUAUGCUGACGGCCGGACAGAAGAGGAAGGCUUUCAGCACCUUCGUCCAGGGCUCGGCUGACUCCAACAAUUCCCACCCGUCCUCGGACCUCUCUCUGGACGAGGAGAGGGAAAACCUGCGCAGAGAGACCGAACGCCAGGCGCUGGCACAGCUCGAAAAGGCCAGGACAAAGCCGGUGGCGUUCGCCGUGCGGACCAACGUCGCGUACGACGGCGGCCUGGACGACGACUCGCCUGUGCACGGGUCGGCCAUCUCGUUCGACGUGAAAGACUUCCUCCACAUCAAGGAGAAGUACGACAACAACUGGUGGAUCGGCCGGCUGGUGAAGGAAGGCGCAGAGGUCGGCUUCAUCCCCUCCCCGGCCAAGCUGGAGACACUGCGACUACAGACGGCUGGCAACCCUCGGCUUCACAACAAGCAGCCGCCGGCCGGAGCCAUGACCGGGCUCAGCGACGUGCUCUCCAACAGUCUGGAUGUGGAUCAGAACGGAAUGGAGACGGCCAUGGGGGACGACUCGGACUCCACGGGCAAGGGCAAGCCCAACCUCACCACUCCGCCGGCACGGGAGAAGCGGAAGCCCUUCUUCAAGAAGCAGGCGAGUGAUCAGGAGACGCCGGCCCCCUACGACGUAGUGCCUUCGAUGCGGCCGCUGGUACUGGUCGGACCCAGCCUCAAGGGGUACGAGGUGACCGACAUGAUGCAGAAGGCCGUCUUCGACUUCCUCAAGAACAAGUUCGAGGGGAGGAUUAUCAUCACCCGAGUGACUGCCGACAUCUCCAUGGCCAAGCGGAACCUGCUCAACAACCCCUCGAAGAGGGCCAUACUGGAGCGAACCAGCCCCCGGUCGGCCUGUGUCAGCGAGGUGCUCGCAGAAAUCGAGAGGAUAUUCGAGUACGCUCGCACGCUGCAGCUGGUGGUUCUCGACUGUGAUACCAUCAACCAUCCGUCACAACUGGCCAAAACGUCACUAGCGCCCAUCCUCUGCUACAUCAAAAUCUCCUCGCCAAAGGUUCUUCAGCGACUGAUCAAGUCCCGCGGCAAAUCCCAGUCCAAGAACCUGACAGUACAGAUGGCGGCUGCUGAGAAGCUCGACCAGUGUCCUCCUGAGAUGUUCGAUAUCGUACUGGACGAAAACCAGCUGGAUGAGGCAUGUGAACAUCUCGGGGAGUUCAUGGAGGCCUACUGGCGCGCCACGCAUCCUCCCGUGAAGACGCCGCCGCCGAGUAUACAGCGGCCGAUUCCCAGCCCGCACCCCAGUCCUCGGAUGGACCACUCGGGACUGACGCGAACGAGCAGUACGCCGCCUGUGAGCCAGGGCAAGAUCACACCAGGUCGCCACCACCACCACCACCACCGCGCCGCCGCCGGCCAUGCGCAUGCGCACGCGCAUGCGCCGUCCCACUAGCGGCGGGCGAAUCACUGUUAGCUAUCCUGCCAGGUGGCGCCGGCGGCUAGGCUGGCGCGAGUGAUUUACCACGGGCGGCACCGGCACCACGACCAGGGGCGGCGGCACGCCGACUACGACGACGAGCCCAUGUACCGCGACGAGCGGCGGCCGCGGCACGCGCACCAUCGCGACGACGCCUUCAGCCCAUCACCGCCGCCGCCGCAGGUGCCGACGCAACCAGCCUCGCGGCGCGCUCUCAACGUCUAGCGACCGGCGCGACAUCUAUAGAGAACGCGGCGCGACGACAGCGCCGCCGCGCCCGAGGCUGUGCGCGGCGAUCGGCGGCUGCCAGGUCGGUCUGCCGCCUGACUGACGGGUUCUUUCUCGACCAAGUAUAUCUUGUUACUGAGUUGUGCAUGACUCCGCCGAUGGAUCUGUACAUAGUGUGGGCUGCUGGGCGCGGCUGAGCGCCGGGCCGCUGGCGUGUGAUAACGGAUACCGACGGCGCUGCUUUCAUUGUACCGCUCGCGCGCCGCUCGUCGCCCAUCCCUUUCAGUCGCUGGAGUGCUGGCGUGCUGGGACAAGUGCAUUGCGCCCUUCAGGCGGCCGUCGGCCCAGCGAGCCGCCGAGGGCGACCUCUUUGUACCCACCAGAUCGUGCAUGGUUUGCUUAUCCCCGGCCUUGGUCGCGUUGAUUUGAUGUCCGGAAGGACUGCCAGGGAUAGGGGAUUGGGGAGGCACUGGCUCAUUGCGAAUUUCACGGCGCGGAAGAGUUUGACUAGAAGGAUUCGUAACGUGAGAGAGGUCAUUAGUGGAGUUGUUGAUUGGUUGGUGAAACCAACACAUUGCAUAAUCACGGUGGCAUAAUUACGCGGUGCGGUGUCAUAAUCAGGUGAUACGACGGCAUAAUCAGGUGAUAUUCAUCUGUCGACAGGUGUUUAUUCCUCCUUAGAUAGUUAGAUGACAAACAUGAUGCUUGCCAAUUGUUUUACACGGAUGGUUACGACACGAAGUCGUAUUCGUUGACGCUAGUACUGAUCGGAUCGCUCCCCGCGACCGUAGCAUUCUAGAGCAUAACGACAGUUUGCCAGUUUUACUUAGCGUUACAUUUAUUCAUUGCGUCACCGCUCGCCAUUGCUGGAGCGAGUGUGUUGGCACCCCGUCUCCCUCCGUUUGAAGCAUGAAUCUGAGAAUGUAGUGGACAGUGGGACUCGCCGAACUCCCGUUAGGGACGCUGUCGAGUCUGCCCGCGCUACGAGCGCUGUUAAACGUGCCUCAGUGGCUUCACUCGCCCGGCCCUGUACCGCUGCGACUUGUGGUGCGUUUGCCCCGCUCCGGCCCGUUCCAGCGCGUUCCGGCGGCUCCCCAGCCGCUCACUGCCGUUCCCGCGGCGGCCCGACCGCAGCAGCUGCAGCUCGAAUAGCGCGCCAAUUUUUCGCGCGAACCGCUACCCCGUCAAGCCAUGCGUUUGUGUUUAGGGUUUACCGAGAGGUUUUGUUGAGAGGUUGUUGUCGAAGCAGGUCGGUUUUAUGAUAUUACGCCCAGAGCCCGGCUGGCUUUGAGUGGCUUCGUGCGUUUAUGAGAGGUGACGGUUAUGUAUUUGCCUGAUUCGCACGGUAUUUCCUCAGCAUUGUAACUGAAGUGGCUGGUGGACGUCUUGGUCUGCCUGAAGUAAUGUUAGAUUUUAUCAAACGUCAAAAUCGCUGGACAAGUGAGUGAAUGUUUGAGUGGACGCUGCACCUGCUCAUUAUAUAAGUACUCAUUAACGAGUCGUACACUUCCCACUAACACUGAAUGCGUUCAGAGGCGUCCACUUAAACAUUCGCUCGGUUGUCCUAUUACCUAUAACGCCUCUCUGAGUUAUCAGCGCUCACAUACUUUUAGUCAGCUCUCAGCGCCUCUCGAGGCAAGUGCUACACCUCCGCGGUGAGCGUGUCUCAGGAUUGUCUCUCUGUUUGUCUCACGGUCACCUCUCCGCAGCUCUGCUUCAGCCCAGAUCAGAUCUGACGUCAUAUCAGUGAUGACGUCUCAUGCCACGUAUUUGUCUCUAGUGAUGUCUACUGUGGCAACGUUGGCUGCGGCUUCAUGCGGCGCUGAUAACUCUGUAAAGGAGGCUUUUCUUUGUGUUUGUCCUGCUCAUUUUGAGAACAUUUAAGUCGGAUGUUAGCCACUGGUCACUGGUGCAGACUUAUGUUUGCGAUAAUCAAAACACUAUCCUCUGCCUGUCGCAAAUCGACAAAUAUCCCUCGUGCAGAGCUAUUUUUAUCUAAUCCGACGGUACGGUGGAAUGUAGGCACUCGCAGGUGGCGUGUCGGCCGAUGGACGUCCCAGCCUGUUGUGCCGGUCCCGGUUUCUAUACUGUAGUCUCACCUCCAUAACCUCUGUGGGCUGGACGCCGAGUGUUUUGUGAGUCGCGCCGCUGCUGGCUUCAAGGCAGCGCCACCGCUCUAUUUGAAUUGUCUAUUCCAAUUGGUCGAAGAGUUUGUAAAUACGAGUUUUUAUCAGAAGGUA